ensembl:lncRNA
GAAAUUGGGAGUUGGGGAUUCAGGAGAACAGCACAGGCGGGGAUAAAAAACCAUUGAUAAAAAGAGCCAUUUGCCUCCCUUCUUGUUCCCUCUUUGAGAUUCUGGAUGAAGCUGCUCUUUCUGGUGUCUGCUGCUUUUCUGUUUCCUGUUCGCAGAUUGUCACUGCUGCCAGAAAGAAAACAAACGCCCCUGAACUCCAGAAAACGUGUGUGUAUGGACAUGACUGUUGGUGCCGUAACCACCUCCACCCAAACCACCUCAGUCUUCCUUCUCAGUACUCAAGGUCAGCUGCCGCAGUGGUUCUUACUGUCAGUGUUGAAAGUGAAAAGUGAAAAUG